GGAGAGCCUCUGCGCUUGCGGUUUCCAAGGCUCUUUGCUAUUUGUGACGACCCGGCUGUCCUUGUCUCUACGGCUCCUUUGGAGGACGGAUGGCAUUUUGCGCUCCGCCGCUCCUUUGGACGAACCAGGUCCAGGAAUGAGAUGUCUUGAAGGAAGUAGUCCCUCUCUCGGGCUCUUCGGUCAAUGACAAUGUUUCUUGGAGUCUCUCUCAUUCGGGAGAAUUCUCCGUUAGUUCAGCUUAUCAUGCGCUCUGUCGGGUGCGAGUUCUUCCGUGGCUAUCCCCACUUUGGAAGACCCCGAUGCCCCUGAAGAUCAAGAUUUUCGUUUGGCAGCUUCUCCGUAACCGUCUGCCUUCAGGGACCGAGGCGUUGAAACGCCAUGCUCCGGACAACGACACUUGUCCCCUGUGCCACGUCCCGAAAACGGGAACACACAUUCUAUUCUCAUGCGUAGCUGCACAAGCCCUUCGGUGUUUUGUGCGUGAGGCUCUGGGACCGGAGUGGGAGGCUCAUGAUCUUGCAGAGUUUCCGCACGUAAGUGCCACCCAGGUUAGUCGUAAGCGUCGAUUGUUCUGGCUUGUCUUCGCAGCAAUGAUGUGGACUCUUUGGACUACUCGUAAUAAAAUGGUGAUUGAGCGCAUGUUCCAGCGGCGUGCCUCUGACUCGUUCUUCAAAUUUCUUGCCCUCUUGCAGCUCUGGCAUCUGCUCGUUAGGCCCCGAGACUGUGACCGGCUUCAACUGUAUCCGGACGCGCUGCUGACGUCCAUCCGACGGCUCUCCGUCCGUUCGCCUGCCUCUUAGCUUGCCCCUAUGAUGGCCUUUUAUGUUUCCUUUUCUUUCACUUGGACGUGACUAUGUUGUGGCCUUAACCAUUUUCUGUUUAUUCACUAUGUUAGGUUGUGGUUGUCUCGAUGCUGGAAUAUUUGCUUUAUAUAUAAAGCAGGACGAAAGCCUGUUUCGAAAACUAAUGCAACCACGUAAAAUGACUUUGCGGUGGAAACACUCUCGCUCAUUUCUUAUUCGAUGCCCUGCUGCAUCUGCGCCCUCUCGAACGAAGAAAUGGUGGAACAUAUGACUGCAACUUCUAAAACAGAUGCAAAAAAGACUGGUUGUUCGCAUUGCACGACUCGUUAUCUCAUACCGAAUUGACUCGUAUGGUGGUCACGCUCUGGGCCAUUUGGUCAGUGAGAAGGAAGGCAAUCAUGGAGGUUUUUCAGAGCCCCUUUCGCUGGCGACGCUGAAGUAUCUGCUGCUGCAAGAAUGGUAUUGGUAACUAUAGCAUGUCGCGAAAAACCUUCCACUUGCGGUUGAAACUGAAUGCAUGUCGCACGUACCACGACGGGAGAGGAUGCCAUGUGUCUGUACUGUACUGUACUGUACUGUAGGUGAACAUGCAGCUGCACAACGACAACCGUGUGGUUUAGCUUGACGUGCCACCAUCGCACCACGCCGACCCACCUAACGACCGCACUCGAUCGGUCGAACGAACCACAGCCACAACGCGCGCGCACUCGCAGCCGCGUAACCGACCUAUCUAUCUAUAGCCUCGCCCGUUCGCUUGCAUUUCAAGGUAUGGCACGGGCCAAACAUGCACGCAAGCUGGAGCGCACCUUGCAUGACUGCCGUAGAUUGUGUGUGUGUGUGUGUGUGAGUGAGUGAGUUCGGCACCGUUUCUUUGGGGUUCAGCAUUGCAUGGGCCUACACAGUCCACCCCUUCUUUCCAUUUCUCCCUUUCUUUAAAAUUUCAAGCGUGCUUAAAGCAGGAAAGGUGAUUCGUCGUGACGCCGCGUGUGAGGAGACGGCGACGGGAAUAAGGUUCUGUUUGUCUAGCACCCGUUCUGACGGUGCGUUGUCUAUCAUCGUCGAAGAAAAUAUGGAGUUGUAUCUACCGUGUGUCGUAGGAUUCCGUCCGAGUGAGCCAAACGUGUGUCACCGUCAUCACCCGCCCGCGUCCUUUGCGCCCUUCAAUAUUUCGAUGCGGUGAUUUUUACAACGAAUUAUAAAAUGAUGAUUUUUGCUAAUGACAUUAUUAUUAUUGUGGUUUCGUGCAUUUUACUUUCAAAUCAUAGAGCUUAGCUCAUGAUAAAUUGAAUGUUGUCACCGUCUGUCUCUUAUUGGAGCCGAAGCAUGAUGAAUUUUUGAUUGUCUACUAAAAUAAGUUUUGCUGGCUCUCAUGAAAGAGGGGUCACGACAGCGACGUGUCUUCGACUCGAUCGAGUGUUUGUAGUUGUUGCUUGGUGGUCUACAGAUCUUGUUGGCGAUACCUAAACCACCACCAACAGCCCGAACAGAACGCCCGAACCCCUCGGUCUCUCCUGCCCAGGGGUGACGUGGGGGCAAUUCCUCUCUUGCCAGCCGCUGCCAUCCUUCCUCCCCCCACCCGCCGCUGCCAGAGAACACCGUCGGGCAAAGACCGUGUGGCUGAUGGCAGUGGUAGGGCCCAUCUCUCGCGGCCUUCCCUUGCUCUAGGGGCGACAAGACCUGGUGGCUCUCACGACGCCCCUGUUAGAUGUGCAUCUGGGCAUACGACGGUGGGACACAACGAGCGGUGGUCGGCUGUGGAGGUAAAGUAUCGUCUUGUGACAGCGCUCUCAGCCCAGAUCGGGGAGAUUGUGUGCUUGCGAUCAUGACCAAGAUGGGGUCGCUGGCCUCGGCCAGAUCUGGCAGUGGGUGGUCGUUGGACGUGUCUGUGAUGUCCGGUGGCUGGCUUUGACCAUGGUCACCGGGUUGCGGACAGUGCGGUGGCGGGUGCGACACAUUGACAACUAGGCGGAUCUUGACACGUUCUUCUAAUCAUGUGAGGAUUCAACCCUUUCUGGUCCUUGACAACGCGGAAACUCGAGGGAAAACCCUAGUUCUCCUUGGGAUCGAGAGAUGGCGGUGCUUUUUGCGUCAUAGUCCCUCUUGAGGGCAUCGUUUCUAGAGUUUGCUCCAGUUGAAGGGACCAACAGCGUCGGCGGUGCACGGCCUGGUGGCACGACUGUCGAUGAAAAUCGUGCCGACGAAAGUAAUGGAGGACAAUGGCGACAUCUCCGAUGUCGCUUCCUUGUCGAGGCAUUAUCGUUGCAAUUUGCGUCAUCAUGCCUGGAAUGCUCCGGAGGAAACCCUAGAUCUAGGCUUCCCGAAUUGGACAGUGACAACACUCUCAAUGUCACUCUCCCUCCUGGGGCAUCGUUUUAGAGCAAGUGAUGGCUGGAUGGAACAAGAGGAGAUGCAGUGUUACAUCUAUCGCAAGGCCGAAGGUGGUUCCCGGCAGCAUGGCGCUGCGGAGUUUCGACGACGGGCGCAUGUGGAUGGAUACGUGAAGGAUGAUAACGUUGUCUGACGCCGUGGUGGCGUCGAUGACAGGCAAGGCAAGUUGGUGCGUCAGUACCUACUUUGGAGAUGGAUUAGUGAAAGACGUGGCGACGGCCUAUGAAAGUAUGCCAAAUCGGCGUGUGAUCCAGUCUCGGCAUUGUGGCUUGGCUGGGGCAUCCGACUUUAGAUGUUAGGCUUUGGUGCGAUGUCUGUUUGAUAUUUGGUUUGGACAUUCGGCCAUCCUUGAUUAAAGGAUAGGGGUAGCGACAUGUGUUGUCAAGAUGGUGGCUUCAGGUUUACUAAUGUAUUAUUUUCUAUAGUCUUUAUAAAUAAUUAAUAAAAUAACUGCAUGUGCAGGUAGAGGUCGGGCCUUUUGAAAAAAAGAACUGGAUAUAAUUUUCUGUUUAUUUCUGACAUUCCUUGUACUGAUAUAGAUUUGAAGUUUUCUGAAUAAAAAAUCAGUAACAUCGCACACUGACCUGUUUUUUUUUUUAAUAGAAGGCAGCAUGGAACCACUACUGCGCCCUCACCCGGUCCUCGUUUCACACGUACGUAUCCAGCGGGUCCAGUUACCAAACUCUACGUGCGGAGGAGCCUUUAGUUUUGGACCAUGCAAACACAUCGAUCUCGAGCUAUAAAUACCACAGCUCAUGAAUUUCACACCACCACGGACACAACACAAACCAACCAAGUAUACCUGAACUGAGCUAGGCAAGCAUCUCGAAGAUGGCUACCACCAAGCAUUUGGCCAUUGCCGUUCUUGUCCUCCUUAGCAUAGGCACGAGCACAAGCGCUCGAAUCCUCCUGGGUUACGGUCCUGGCGGAGGAGGCGGUGGCGGUGGCAGCGGCGGGGGUGGUGGUAGUGGCUAUGGUGGAUCAGGGUCUGGUUCUGGGUAUGGCGAAGGUGGUGGAAGUGGAGGAGGUAUUAGUGGUGGUGGAUACGGCCAUGGAGGUGGCGGUGGAGGCGGGGGUGGUGAGGGCGGAGGCGCCGGUUCUGGGUACGGAUCUGGGGAGGGAUCCGGCUACGGGGGCGGCGCCGGUGGGUACGGUGGCGGCAGUGGCGGAGGAGGUGGUGGCGGCCAAGGUGGCGGUGGUGCAGGCUAUGGGCAUGGGUCCGGUGAGGGUUCUGGCUAUGGCGGUGGUGCUAGUGGAGGCGGUGGCGGUCACGGAGGUGGUGGCGGUGGCGGCCAAGGUGGUGGGUCUGGCGGGGGCUCAGGCUACGGCUCCGGGUCUGGCAGUGGGUAUGGCCAGGGUGGCGCAUAUGGUGGAGGGUAUGGAAGCGGCGGCGGCGGUGGCGGAGGAGGUGGCCAAGGUGGAGGCUCUGGCUAUGGUUCCGGGUCUGGCUCUGGAUACGGUUACGGUUCCGGCGGUGGUUUCGGAAAUGGACACCACUGAUGCCACUUCCAUGGAAAGCUCAAGUGUUCGAGAGAAUAUAGUAAAAUCUCUUCCGUGAGUGACAGUGAUGGGUUUGUUCGUCACUGAUAUAUAUAUAUAUAUACUUACUGAAGGUGCAAGUUUCAGUAUAUGUAAUUAAUAUUGUACUGUGGUGGCAGUUGCUGCUUCACCUAUUUGACCAAGUCCAGUAAAUAAGCGAUCUUUACAAAGAGAUCAUACUCUUGUAUCCAUUAAUUUCUACAACCCCAAUGAUUAUAUACAGUUCAUGAUGGAUGUCAGACAAACCAUUGGCUGAACUCUGAUUCCGAUUAUCGAUGUUCUGCAACAUUUUGCAGUUGCCACACAAUUUAUGAACAUAUGGUUUCAAUCCAUAAACCAGCGUGCGCGUGGAUAUUGAACCCUCAUCCUUUUUUGCCUGGCUUGAUUCGGCACUUGUCAACUCACUUUUGUGCAAUUUAGAAGCUGGUUUAUUCUGUUGGUGCCACCCAGAACUCUGCAGCUUACAACUUUCCUGUGCAAGUGCAAACUGCAUGCUCUGCUAGUCGUGAGGUAAACUACUUGAGAAACUGGAAGUGCCAAAACUCGUAUUUCAAAUGACAAUUGCACGAUUAUAUCCAGAAUUCCCAU
rnacentral:lncRNA from 1 species